rnacentral:misc_RNA from 1 species
UUUUAAUAUUGCAUCUGAAGCGUUACAACUACAACUCUGGGUCAUCAGUCCAGUCCAAGAUGUUGCAGAACAUUGUUAUUCCAAAGUUUCUGAGCCUCUCUACACACUGCAAUGAGGACACCAGCAAACCCUACCCCAUCCAUGCUCCCCUUCCUCUGCCAAGCCCACAGAAAAGUUUGCUUGAAUCCCCUAAAGAGAGUACUCCUCGAAGAAGGCUUGACAUGAACAACAGUUUUAGAUUUAAGAAGUCAAGAGUUCUCCCCCUUUUUGAAUCUGAUGAUGAUCUGUCAAUUUCAAGUUCUCCUAGUAAGAAACCAAAGUUGGAUGAGGGUCAGGAUAAAUCGGAGACGACGAGGAGAAAGAAAGAGAGCCUUUUAAAACUUUGACCCUGGCUGAUACACAGGAAGACCCAGAUUUGGCCAAAGCCCUGGAAUUAUCUCUACAAGAAGCUAAUGAAAGAGCACAGCAGCAGCAAUAUACAGAUGAGGUAGAUGGAGGGCAUGAGGACUCAGAUUUUCAAAAGGCAUUAGAAAUGAGUCGAAUGGAGUCCGAAAACCCCCAGUCUGAUCACGAUUAUGGAUCAAGUCUAAAUGGAAUGUCUGAGGAGGAGCAGAUGAGAAUAGCUAUUGAAGAGAGCAUGAGGGACUUUGCCCAGGCCAACUACUUACCCGACCCUGAAGAAGAAGAAGAGGAAAGAUAUUAUACAGAGGCCUCUGGCUCAAGAAUCACAGAGCAGACACAACACAACAAGGGAGGGGAUUUGAUCAAACAGUGCAGUGCAAUAGUGUAUGAAAGCUGUCUACAGAAUGGACUCGAGAAUGGAGACCCACUCGAGAAGGCUACUGGGGAGAACACUGCUGAAGACUUUGUAGCUUGCAGGUCAAAGUACUUUACAAAGCAAGAAAAAUGCAGCGUAUGUGAUAAAACCAAAGACAAAGAUGUGUCCAUGGAUGGUGAAUGUAAAUGUGUCACUGAUGCAACGGACUGUAAUGGAAAUGAAGUGGGCAGCGGGAAGUCUCUUGUCCAGCUGAAUGGUGGCAGUUCACAACAAGACGGCUUUGUGCCCAAGCUGAGUUCCGAGAAUGAUUUCAAAUCCAUGUUUGAUGAUGAUGACUUUGAUAAAGAUGUGAUGCUGCUUGAUGAACCUUGGGCCUCAGAUGACAAGGAGAACAAGAAGCCCUCAGAACCAUCAGAGGAGGACACCUGUCUGAUUGAGGACCUUCCAGUUGUGUGUAAUGAGAAAGGAGAGCUGCCUCAGUCAUACCGCCUGGUCAGUGUGGUUAAUCACAUAGGAGCCAGCUCUUUUGUUGGCCAUUACAUCAGUGAUGUGUUUGAUGCUGAGAAAAGGUGCUGGUACAGCUUUGAUGAUUCUCGUGUUUCCAAGACAACAGAAUCAGAAAUCAGGUCCAGUCGAGAGAGAAGUGGAUACAUAUUCUUCUACCUCAACAAGGAUAUUUAUGAAGACCUUGCCGAGCAUUUUGAGAAACACAAUACUCCCAUUGAAUUAAAAUGAUUUGUUUUUUGGACAAUACGUGGAUAUGUAUUUAGUACAUGAAAUAGUAUAUUGACGUUAUUUAUUUUUAUAAAAGUAAAUUUAACAAUUGUU